rnacentral:rRNA from 1 species
CCUACGGGGGGCAGCAGUGAGGAAUAUUGGUCAAUGGGCGGGAGCCUGAACCAGCCAAGCCGCGUGAGGGAAGAAGGUACAGCGUAUCGUAAACCUCUUUUGUCAGGGAACAAAGGCGGGGACUAGUCCCCGGAUGAGGGUACCUGAAGAAAAAGCAUCGGCUAACUCCGUGCCAGCAGCCGCGGUAAUACGGAGGAUGAGAGCGUUAUCCGGAUUUAUUGGGUUUAAAGGGUGCGCAGGGGGCCUGUUAAGUCAGCGGGAAAAGCCCGGGGCUCAACCCCGGCGAGCCGUUGAAACUGGCGGGCUGGAGUGGGAGAGAAGUAGGCGGAAUGCGCGGUGUAGCGGUGAAAUGCAUAGAUAUCGCGCAGAACCCCGAUUGCGAAGGCAGCGUACCGGCUCCACACUGACGCUGAGGCACGAAAGCGUGGGUAUCGAACAGGAUUAGAUACCCUUGUAGUC